rnacentral:rRNA from 1 species
CCUACGGGUGGCAGCAGUGGGGGAUAUUGCACAAUGGGGGGAACCCUGAUGCAGCGACGCCGCGUGGGUGAAGAAGCGCCUCGGCGCGUAAAGCCCUGUCAGCAGGGAAGAAAAUGACGGUACCUGAAGAAGAAGCCCCGGCUAACUACGUGCCAGCAGCCGCGGUAAUACGUAGGGGGCCAGCGUUAUCCGGAUUUACUGGGUGUAAAGGGGGCGCAGACGGCGAUGCAAGCCAGGAGUGAAAGCCCGGGGCCCAACCCCGGGACUGCUCUUGGAACUGCGUGGCUAGAGUGCAGGAGGGGCAGGCGGAAUUCCUGGUGUAGCGGUGAAAUGCGUAGAUAUCAGGAGGAACACCGGUGGCGAAGGCGGCCUGCUGGACUGCAACUGACGUUGAGGCCCGAAAGCGUGGGGAGCAAACAGGAUUAGAUAGGUC